GUCAUGCUCUGGAGGGCUUAAUCGAAAUGGUGAGGUCACAGUCACUGGCUGGGAGCACCGUCUGAGGACGGGUCACCGGGGUCACCAUGCUAGGGUUGGGGUUCUGGCCAAAUCUUGGCAACGCAUGUUGAUUUUGAUAUUAAUGACCUUGAACAUGUCACCACGUAUGGAGAGAACGGCGGCAUUGUGUGAGGGCGAAGGUCAAGGUAGGCAGGUUCCAGUCGGGUACGUGACAGCGCGGAGGGCAGGGCCGUCCAGGGGGACGGAAUGGGGCCCAGGACCCCGACCAGGACGUAUUUAAGGGGCGGGCGGGUUCCGAGAUGCCAAGUCGUGCCGCGAGUCUCCUGUCUCCCGCUGCCUCUCCCGCUGUCUGUCUGUCUGUCUGUCUACUGUCUCUCCGCCAGCAUGCCGGGACGGGCGCUACUGCAGACCUCUCUGGUGCUCUGGCUGGUUCAGCUCACGCUGCAAGGAGGUAUCAGCAGACCACAGAGUGGAGGACUUGGCCGCUUGAUACCAGGAAGAGGUGCUGGUGUGCUGGGAAUCCCAGGAGUGCGUGGGAAUGGGGGAGGAAAGUUGGGCAAGGCUGGGGCUGCAGCUUUCAAGCCCACAGGUGCAGGAGGUCGGGGACUUGGAGGCCUUAAGCAAGGAUAUGGUGCACAACCAAGCUAUGGAGCUGCUUAUGGAGCUGGCCUGGGCCCUGGUCUGGGACUGGGUUUGGGACUAGGUAACGGCCUUGGUGGAGGACUGGGAGCUGGUCUGGGUCCUCAAGUUGGAAAGCAGCUUGGCAGAGGGUACGGUGGUAACGGUUAUGGAUCUCUGCCUGGGUACGGGGUCGGUGCAGGAGGCUACCCUGGAGCCGGUCGUGGCGCUGCAGCGGGUGGAUAUCCCACAGGACAGGGGGCUAAAGGACCCAAGCCGGGAGCGGGAGCUUUUAAUGGCCAUGGGGCUGGAGGCAAUGGACACGGGCAAGGACCUGCACUGCCCGCUACACAGGGUCCCAAGCCACCCAAACCGGGGUUCGGUCCAGCAGCGGGUGCUCACGGCCGAAAGGGACCUAAAGGGAACGGAUAUGGUCCGGCGCCAGGCCUUCCCGGCGGAGCUGUCAGCAACGGGUUUGGUCCCGGAGCUGAACUUGGCAAUGGACAUGGGGCAAGGCACAAUGGACAUGGUCCAGAAGAUGUUGUAUCCAAUGGACCUGUCAGAAAUGGACUUGGCCCAGGAGACGUAGGUCUUGCCAAUGGGAAAGGAGCUAAAGGCAACGGAGCAGGGCUGCCUUUCAGACAGGGUGCCAAGCCGGCGAAAACGGGUUACGGCCCGGGCUUGGGCAGCUACCUCGGACUCGGAAACGGUUACGGAGCAGGCCUGGGGCAGGGCGGAUACCCUCUGCUGAGAAGCGGAGGCAAGCAAGCAGGCUACACUGAUGGACAGCUAGGCUUCCUAGGGACUGGCCUCGGAUACGGUGAUGGAUACGGAGCCGGGGCCCUCGGCGUGGGAGCCAAAGCUGUGCCUGCAGGAUACGGGAACGGCUAUCUGCUCGGCGGAGCCGGUUACGCUCCAGGAGCCGGCGGAUACCCGUCACUGUUAGCCGACGGGGCCGGGCUGGGAGGCAAAGCAGGGAAGGGUGCAGGAGGCGCUGCCUUGGGUGCUGCCGGCUCUCUGCCCUACGGGGGUCAGCCCGUGGUCGCCGCCGGCCUGGGUCCUGAAGCCAAGUCUGGGUACGGAACCGGCUCGCUGCCAUAUGCCGGGCACGCCGCAGGACUUCUGCCAGACGGCGGACUGGGCGCCCUCGGUGCGGGUCUGGACCCAUCUGCUGGGAAAUAUGGAGCCGGUCAGCUUCCUUACCAAGGCGCUCCAGUCAUCCCUGCAGGGCUGGACGAUGGCGGAUACCCAUACGGUGCUCAGCAUCUCAGCCUGGAGGCCGAGGCCAGUAAAGCUGCCAGCAAAUAUGGGGACGGUGGGGCAGGGCUGCGCCCCCAAGCUUCCCAAGCUUAUGGACUGGAGACUGGGGGAAAACCUAAUUGCAAAAAUGGAAGUGGCAGGGGGUACGCAGGAUCGCAGCCAGCAGCUGUAAAGGAAGUGAGCAAGUACGGCCUGAACGGCGCCUAUGGCAACGGCUACAAAGGUUGAUCCAGCAAGCUGUGGCUCCGUUUCCCUCAUGUGUCAGUCUCUUAUUGUAUGUUACAUUAUGUUGGUCGUAUGUUCUGUUUUCUUCACCAUUUUUGCCUUCUGUGUCGGUCAUUUUUGUCAACUCCCCCCAUGAUUUGUUGUCCAGAAAAAGUGCUGGUUUUAUUGGUUCGUAUCCUUGCUACAUGUGAAAUGAUGUUUUGCUUUGUUUCCAAACAUGAAACAUUAAACAAUUUUCACCGUUUUCAGUUUUUCAGUGUUCGCUUUUCCAUUUUGACUUAUGGUUGAUUUUAUUGUUUUGCAUUGUAAGUAUCGUCAUAAUGCAAGAUCAUUUCGACAACAAGUAGAGGAGACCUUCUUCCGGGAGCCAUAAAGCCACAGUCUUCCUGUCCCACACAGUCGAAAUGAAAACUAAAACAGUGGGGCAGGAUGAGGCAGAAUUAAACGGGUUAUCUGAAUCAACAUCUCACUUUUUACUGCCAUCACAUUUACGGCCUUGUCCAGAGCGCC
rnacentral:lncRNA from 1 species